CGCCAACCAUGCCGCCCGCAACGAGGCCGCCAUAUCAAUCCUGAAGCAAUGCACCUACAUGUGCCCAGUUAUAUGAGGGAUGCCCUGGUGGAUGGUACGGGUUCAGGGAUGGCGGAUUGUGAGAGCAUACUAGUGGAUGACAUACCACAGCUGCUUAACAUCACUGCUCUGACAGUCAAUAUCACAACAUGGAAGGGACAUUCGUAUGCUUCCAGUUUGGCAAGGCUCACAAUGCAGCAAUCUUGAAGACCUCCGCAUUGAUGUCACGAGAGGCACCGAGAAGCCGGCAUGCUUGGAUCGAGCUUGCGUCUGCCACGACGAAGAUGGUUGGGAGAACCAGCAGCUCUCACUGGAGCGCCUUGUACACUUGG